rnacentral:rRNA from 1 species
UACGGGAGGCAGCAGUCGGGAAUAUUGCGCAAUGGAGGAAACUCUGACGCAGUGACGCCGCGUAUAGGAAGAAGGUUUUAGGAUUGUAAACUAUUUUAGACAGGGAAGAAAAAUGACAGUACCGUGUAGAAUAAGCUCCGGCUAACUACGUGCCAGCAGCCGCGGUAAU